UUUCAUUCAUAGUCAUGUUGAGGUUUUUUGGUGAAGAAAAUAACUUGUAGGGAUUAUGUUAGUUGGUGAGUGGAUCACUCGGUAAUAUUAUCUUUGAAAAUCCAAAAUGGUACCACGUGCAUGUAGAGAUGCGUCUAGGACAUUGCAUGCACAUAAGUCUAUAAGAAAUGACUCUCACUUGAUUAUGUGACUUGGUGAAUUAUGCGAAUUACGUGAAUUAUAUGAUUGGUGGAUGUAGUGACUUAUGUAAAUUCGUGUACUUGAAUAUAUUUGCUCGGUGAUGCUAGUACACUUGAAAUAUUGUUGUCUAUAUAAGAAUGAUGUGAUGAAUUAUUUACGAUGAGAUAAUUAUGAGAAUGAUGCUUGAUUAUGACAUUGAAUGACUAAUUGAUAGUAUAUAUUAUGAUUGAAGUGAAGAUAACAUGAAUAUGAUGCUAGUAUUCUAGGAAUGAUGAAUAUGUAUAUAUGCACGAUUUACUUGAAUUUUAUAAUGCUAUAUUUGUGCUUAUAUCUUUUUAUGUGAAUAUUAUCUAACCUCUCAGUGGUCGUUUGGUUGACCGUCUCUUCAUUUGCAAAAAUGGUGUAGACGUGCAAGGUUGAUGAUGUUCGUGGAGACGUGUGUACCCAAGACUUGCAUAUCGCAUUCCUCAUUUUUCUUUUGCAUGGAGUCUAGUAUAGGCUCUGAUUAGGAUUGUCGGGAUUCUAUGUUUAUUUAUCUUUGAGAUUAUGUUGAGACCAUAUUGUUUAUGUAUUAUGAAACCUGAGAUAGGUUGUUGAGAUUUCUUGAUUCAUGCACUUUGAGAUUUUUGAUGUAUAUGAGAUAUUUGAGAUGUUGUUUUUAUUCCGAUGCAAGAUUUAUGAAAACCGAAUUAUGCAUGUUUUUGAGAAAAUGACGUAACGUCUUGAAUUCUUUUGAUUAAAUGAUUUAUUUGCAUUACAUAUUUCUUGUGGGGUUCAAGGGUGUUACAGUGUUGAGUUAUAUGUUCAUAUGGUCAAGUCCAGUGUUAAUGAAAAGUGUUGACGGGAUCAAUCGGUAAAAUAACUUUGACAUCCAAAACGGUACCACAUGCUUGUAGAGUCGUGUCUAUAACAUUGCAUGCAUAUGAAUCUAUGAGAAUUAUUUAUAUAUGAUUUUGGUGAAUGAUGUGAAUUAUGUAGAUGAUGUGAAUUAUAUAUAUUACAUUAAUUAUAUUCAUUAUGUGGGAUAUGUGCUUUAUGUAAAUGUAAGUUGAGAUGAAUAUAUGGUGAUAUUUUAUAAAUGAUGAUGUUGGUGUAAUUCGAUGAUUAAGAUAAAUGGAGAAUGAUGUAAAAAAUCUUUUUAUGAUUAAUGUUGUUGAUUUAUAAAAGCAUGUAUAUGCGAUAUUUGAAAUUCUAUCGUACUAUACUUGAAUUCAUAGUUUCUUAAUGUUAAUUGUAAAUUUAUCCUCCAGUGGUUGUUUGGUUGACCGCCUCACCAUUGUAAAAAUGGUGUAGACGUACAUGUGGAGACGCUUGAGAUGGUAUGAGUAUCGAGGAUUAGCUUAAGGCUUCCUCAUUUUCUUUGCUUUGGAGUCUAGUAUUAGAGAUGUAGAUUAAUAAUUCAUUAGUUCUAGUAGACAGUAGUAUAAAUAACUUGUAACCACCCCAUUAGUGGGAUACUGCUCAUCAUUUGUAACUUUCUAUUCUCAUUAAUACAAAGAGUUAGUUACUUUUCUCUCAUUCCUUCCAUGGAUAUCAUGCUUCAUAACACACUAAUGAGGUGGUUAUAAGUUAUUUAUACUAAUGUCUACUAGAGCUAAUGUACCACUAAUCUAUAUUUCUAAUAUCUAGUCUAGACUCUGAUUAGGAUAUUUUGAGUAUUAUUUUAUUUAUAUGCUAUGUUGGAAUUAUAUGGAGACCCUAUUGUUUUUAUUUGAUGUAUUAUGAGAUUUAGAUUUAUGAUCUUGAGACCUUAAGAUGAUUUUGGAGAUUAUUGUUUAUUCCGUUGUGAAACUUUGAUGAAAAAUGUAUCUUGCAUGUUUUGAGUUUAAUGAUGUAGCACCUUGAUCAUAAUAUGAAUUAUUUGUUGUAUUUAUAUUAAAUAUUAAUAGUGAGGUUCAAGGGUGUUACACUUGACAAAAGCACUUAAAACCAUUUUUAUUUCUCCUUUACUUAUACAUUUAUUUUAAUAAGUGUGAAUUGAACAAUGACUCACUCAAUUUCUUCGACAAGGUCCACAUUUAAAUUGUACUCACAAAUAUUAUUAACAUUACACCUAACUGGGUAAUAUGAUAUCUCUGGACAAUUAUAGUCAAAUACGCAAGGAAUACCAUCUGCAUUGUCAAAAAAAAAAAAAAAUUGUUUUACUAAAUGUUGUUAAAACGUUGUGUAUAAGAUAAAUUAUAAAAUUCAAAAAGGGUUUGAAAAAUGACACACCUCUAUAAAUUUGGGAAAUAACGAUGAUGAAAGCAUAAACAAACAUGAGAAUAUGAUUCAUAUUUUU
rnacentral:lncRNA from 1 species